AGAAGGAAACGGAUAGAGUUGACGAAACACGUUGGCAUUCAAUCGUUGUAACGUUGCGGUGCAUUCACAUGUAAGGCCUACUUACAUCUGUCAAAGGAUGUGGGUAUGGUUGUGAGCAGCACUUGUGUUGUCUUUGUUGGACCGCAUGCGUUUGCGCACGGUGUAUUUGCCAACGGUAUGCGCUGAGAAGAUCGUUGUGAUGUGCUAAUAGCUAACUUGCUGUAGAGGACCAUACUCUUUGAAUGAGCGUGGAAACUUUGGCUAGCUAUAGGCAUGUUCGCUUAAUGAUCGCUAAUUAUAGCAAUGCAUUCACUCGGCGAGCUUAAAAACGCACAUUUCUUCUGUCGGUUUGUAUGAGAUUGAUGUGGCUACUGAGCGGUCGCUUGUCGACUUGCUUGUAUGCUAACAUUGGUUGAUCGAUGUUGAAUGUGAGUUGGAGUGUUGAAAAAUGCGUCUCAGUGUGAAAGUCGACCACCUAUCCGACCCGUCUUGAAACACGGACCAAGGAGUCUAGCAUAUGCGCAAGUCAUUGGGUGUUAAAAACCUAAAGGCGCAAUGAAAGUAGAGAUCGCUUUAAUGCGGUUGAUAUGGGAUCCUUGUGUGCUUAUGCUAGCGUUGUUAGUAUAAGUAAGCUUGGCGCACCAUAGCCCCGUCUACGUUGCUUGCAAUAGGGCGGAGGUAGAGCGCAUAUGCUGGUACCCGAAAGAUGGUGAACUAUGCCUGAGCAGGAUGAAGCCAGAGGAAACUCUGGUGGAGGUCCGAAGCGGUUCUGACGUGCAAAUCGAUCGUCUGAC
rnacentral:rRNA from 1 species